ACAAUUAUACAUCUCAGACAUUUCUAUCCCGGGAUUCUCUCUGGCCAGAAGGGUGCAAAAUCGUUCAGCUGAAUAAGUAUCAGGAAUGACUACCCAUCAUCAAGGAAUGGAAAGGGGGCAGGAAGUGAGGAGGUGACAGUUUCUGGCUGCUGAUGACCCGCAGAGCCCACGGAGUGACCGCAGAUAACGCCCCAUCUUUCUCAGCCACCCAGACUCACUGAACUUCGAUCCUGCAGCUCCUGACAAGGGCCAAGGGAAGCAGAGAAUGGCAGCUGCAUCAGUUGUGGCGGGAGUGAUUCUUGGUGCCUCUCUGUCCCGUUGUUCCCUGAAGCCGAAGCUGUGGGUCUGGGCAAUCUGCACAGCGAGGCGUCUAGAACCUCUGAGGGAUGCUGCAGUCUAGAACGAUCCCUGGCCUAAGUCAAGAAUGGAAACAUGGCUCUUCCCUCAGGGGCUGAUGAUGUCACCGGAGCAGUGAGUUAUAUUCCCUUCAAAAGGACCCAUGCUGCAGCUUCCUCCACUGCUGUCUUUACUCCCUGGACAACCAGCUCCCACUGCUCCUUAGAGGCCGGGUGCCCAGUGUGCGGGCUUUCAUACACCACCUCCCCGAAUCCUCAUCAAAACCCGAGGGCAAGGGCGCUGUCAUCCUAACUACGCAGGAGAAUACUGAGACUCGGAAACUUAAGUGACUCAUUUCCCAUCUGAGUGGAUUACUCAGGAAAAGAAAAGGAAAUUAGCAUGAGAUUUGGGAGCAAGUAUUGAAUAACGACUAUCAGCAAAGGGCUUUUUGCUUAGACAAAUCUGAGUUGGAAGCCCAGCUCUUCAACUUCCGGGCUGUGUGAGCUUGGGCAAGUCCCUCAGCUGCUCUGAGGCUCACUUUCUCCACCUGCAAUGUGAAGAUAAUCCUACUACCUAUUCCAGGCCUCCUGAGUGGCAGGUGAUCCAGAAUUUUAUCUAAUCAUCUCCUUGCUUUUAUUAAAUGACGGUUAUUUUUUCUCUGCUCACCAAUCAGGAUUUUGUGGUUCUUCUGCUGGUCUCUCCUGGGUUCUCUCCUAUGGUUGAAGAAUGGAAUGGAAUGGCUGGAUAGUCCAAGGUGACCUGGCACAGACGUCUGGGAGUUGGUGCUGCUUCUGAGCCUGGGCACCUCGAUUUUCCUCUACACGGCUGUUCAUCCUCGGGUAGACUUAUCAGCUUCCUCACAGCAUGGCUGCCUCAGGGCAGAGCUCCAAGAGGACAAGUGCCUGUGUGCCAGGGGUAACUGCUGAGGAAGAAAUGCACCGGCCAAGUCUUACCCUGUGGCAACCUUUUGGUAAGGGUUUGCUGAGUGCUCACGAGAGCCCCCAAACUGACUUCACCCCGGGACAAUCAGGGU